rnacentral:rRNA from 1 species
GAUGAACGCUAGCGGGAGGCCUAACACACGCAAGCCGAGCGGUAUUGUUUCUUCGGAAAUGAGAGAGCGGCGUACGGGUGCGGAACACGUGUGCAACCUGCCUUUAUCUGGGGGAUAGCCUUUCGAAAGGAAGAUUAAUACUCCAUAAUAUAUUGAUUGGCAUCAAUUAAUAUUGAAAGCUCCGGCGGAUAGAGAUGGGCACGCGCAAGAUUAGCUAGUUGGUGAGGUAACGGCUCACCAAGGCGAUGAUCUUUAGGGGGCCUGAGAGGGUGAUCCCCCACACUGGUACUGAGACACGGACCAGACUCCUACGGGAGGCAGCAGUGAGGAAUAUUGGUCAAUGGGUGCAAGCCUGAACCAGCCAUCCCGCGUGAAGGACGACUGCCCUAUGGGUUGUAAACUUCUUUUGUAUAGGGAUAAACCUACCCUCGUGAGGGUAGCUGAAGGUACUAUACGAAUAAGCACCGGCUAACUCCGUGCCAGCAGCCGCGGUAAUACGGAGGGUGCAAGCGUUAUCCGGAUUUAUUGGGUUUAAAGGGUCCGUAGGCGGACUUAUAAGUCAGUGGUGAAAGCCUGUCGCUUAACGAUAGAACUGCCAUUGAUACUGUAAGUCUUGAGUAUAUUUGAGGUAGCUGGAAUAAGUAGUGUAGCGGUGAAAUGCAUAGAUAUUACUUAGAACACCAAUUGCGAAGGCAGGUUACCAAGAUAUAACUGACGCUGAGGGACGAAAGCGUGGGGAGCGAACAGGAUUAGAUACCCUGGUAGUCCACGCCGUAAACGAUGCUAACUCGUUUUUGGGCUUUAGGGUUCAGAGACCAAGCGAAAGUGAUAAGUUAGCCACCUGGGGAGUACGCUCGCAAGGGUGAAACUCAAAGGAAUUGACGGGGGCCCGCACAAGCGGUGGAUUAUGUGGUUUAAUUCGAUGAUACGCGAGGAACCUUACCAAGACUUAAAUGGGAAUUGACAGCUUUAGAAAUAGAGCUUUCUUCGGACAAUUUUCAAGGUGCUGCAUGGUUGUCGUCAGCUCGUGCCGUGAGGUGUUAGGUUAAGUCCUGCAACGAGCGCAACCCCUGUCACUAGUUGCCAUCAUUCAGUUGGGGACUCUAGUGAGACUGCCUACGCAAGUAGAGAGGAAGGUGGGGAUGACGUCAAAUCAUCACGGCCCUUACGUCUUGGGCCACACACGUAAUACAAUGGCCGGUACAGAGGGCAGCUACACAGCGAUGUGAUGCAAAUCUCGAAAGCCGGUCUCAGUUCGGAUUGGAGUCUGCAACUCGACUCUAUGAAGCUGGAAUCGCUAGUAAUCGCGCAUCAGCCAUGGCGCGGUGAAUACGUUCCCGGGCCU